GCUGGCGGCGUGCUUAACACAUGCAAGUCGAACGGACCCUUUGGGGUUAGUGGCGAACGGGUGAGUAACACGUGGGUGAUCUGCCCUGCACUUUGGGAUAAGCCUGGGAAACUGGGUCUAAUACCGGAUAGGACUACGCACUGCAUGGUGUGUGGUGGAAAGCUUUUGCGGUGUGGGAUGGGCCCGCGGCCUAUCAGCUUGUUGGUGGGGUGAUGGCCUACCAAGGCGACGACGGGUAGCCGGCCUGAGAGGGUGACCGGCCACACUGGGACUGAGAUACGGCCCAGACUCCUACGGGAGGCAGCAGUGGGGAAUAUUGCACAAUGGGCGCAAGCCUGAUGCAGCGACGCCGCGUGAGGGAUGACGGCCUUCGGGUUGUAAACCUCUUUCGCCAGGGACGAAGCGCAAGUGACGGUACCUGGAGAAGAAGGACCGGCCAACUACGUGCCAGCAGCC
rnacentral:rRNA from 1 species